UACGGAGGGUGCGAGCGUUGUCCGGAAUCAUUGGGCGUAAAGGGCGCGUAGGCGGCCUGAUAAGUCGGGGGUGAAAUCCUGCGGCUUAACCGCAGGGCUGCCUUCUAAACUGUCAGGCUAGAGCACGGUAGAGGUAGAUGGAAUUCCCGGUGUAGCGGUGGAAUGCGUAGAGAUCGGGAAGAACAUCAGUGGCGAAGGCGGUCUGCUGGGCCGUUGCUGACGCUGAGGCGCGACAGCGUGGGGAGCAAACAGG
rnacentral:rRNA from 1 species